rfam:Beta vulgaris subsp. vulgaris chromosome 6, whole genome shotgun sequence.
GCAUCUAUGGCUGAAUGAUUAAAGCACGCAACUCAUAAUUGGCGAUUUUGUAGAUUCAAUUCCUACUAGAUGCA